rnacentral:rRNA from 1 species
GUCUACGACCAUGCCACCCUGAAUGUGCCCGAUUUCAUCUGAUCUCGAAAGCUAAGCAGGGUCGGGCCCAGUUAGUACUUCGAUGGGGAGACCACCUAGGAAUACUAUGUGCACCAGGCA